AUGCAAGUGUUUUUUAACUAAUUUUGCCCAAUUUAAAAAGCUACACCAGUUGCUCUCAUUCGUAUUAGGGUUUUAGGGCUCUGCGAUUUGUUACGGAGCCAGUCGCACUUCUAUAAUUGAGGCACAAACCGUAAGAAUUUUGCAAGGUCACGACAAUGUCUCGAGUUUAUGUUGGGAAUUUGGAUCCGCGAGUUUCAGAAAGAGAACUCGAAGAUGAAUUCCGAAUCUACGGCGUUCUCAGGAGUGUUUGGGUUGCAAGAAGACCGCCUGGUUAUGCCUUUGUUGAGUUUGAUGAUCGGAGGGACGCUUUAGAUGCAAUUCGUGCAUUAGAUGGGAAAAACGGCUGGCGUGUUGAGCUUUCACACAAUUCUAAGGGAAGUGGUGGAGGUCGUGGUGGAGGCGGUGGUGGUGGUGGGCGUGGACGUGGUGGAGGCGAGGACUUGAAGUGUUACGAGUGUGGUGAACCUGGUCAUUUUGCCCGAGAGUGUCGCUUGCGCAUUGGUUCACGAGGCUUAGGAAGUGGGUAUCGUCGAAGCCCCAGUCCUCGACGUCGUAGAAGUCCGAGUUAUGGGCGUAGAAGUUACAGCCCUCGUGGAAGAAGGUCUCCUCCUCCUCGACGCCGCAGCAUAUCUCCUCGCAGGGGCCGUAGCUACAGCAAGUCGCCACCAUAUCGCCGCUCUCACCGUGAUUCACCCUAUGCUAACGGUGUGUCACCUGGUUUUGUCCGUGGCUACAGCAGGUCACCUCCAUAUCGUCAUGGUUAUCGUGAUUUACCUUAAUGCUUUUGUGAUUAGGACUUGGGGGCUGGAACUGAAGCUAAUUGGGGAAGAACAACAAACGAUGAAGUUUCUGCUGUAAUGUAGUCCUGAUAGGAUUGAUAACAAACAAGAAUAGGGUUAUUUGAGUUCAUGUGAUGACAAAUGGGUGUGUUUUGAACUUGGCUUUGGACGGCUUCUGCAUUGUUAAGCUGCCAAAAUGGGUGCUUUGGCCUCUGUUUUUAGCGUCAGCUUGCUCUAUUCAGUCAUUUUCGGCUAAAACGGCAACAUUUCGCCACUUAAUGCACAUGGUUUACCACUGCAUAGUCUCUGCAUCUGCUUCUCUGCACCCCAUCAUCCCCUCGUCAUAGCUCCUUGUGCUUAAUGAGUGACUCUCAAUUGAAACUGAAAACGUUGAGGAAGUUGGUUGCGUGCACCACUUUUAUGUGCAAUCUUCUGUAGCGAAGCUUCUGAUGUUGUAGUUAAGACCCUUUCUGCCUGGUGGUAGAGGAAGAUGAAGGUUUUUAUUCUUCUUUGGGUAACCAUGUUUCAAGCUGCGGUAGUGAACUCGAACUGUAGGAAUUAUAUGUGGUGACUUUUCCCAAAGAGAUGUACCUUCGUAGUGGCUCGAGAGUAUUACCUUCAUAGUCGCUCAAGGAAAUGAAAGUAAUGGCUAUGUAACUGUUACUGCGAUAACCUACCCAAAGAUCUUCAGCCACUUGUACUAGAGUGGCUAGCGCACUGCACCUUCAUGUUUCUUGCCUUGUAAGUCUCCAUUUCAGGCUAAAGUAAUUGAAACCUUCGCGUUUCAAUUGUUGUUGUGGUGCUCACUUGUGACCGUGGUUCGAUGAGUACUUUGUGCAUGAAUGUUCGUUCUUGCAUUUGCUGAAAUUGCAAUUUGUUUUAGAACACUUUAUUAUUUUGUUAAUUACGGUCAUGUAGGUCUUUGCACUUGGGAAAAUGAUAAUACACUCCACUAUUUUAAUAAAUGUGGUUCUUUUUCUU